UGCCACCCAGAUUCACCGCGGCCCGGUUCCUGGUUGAACGGCCGCGUGCUUUCGUUUUCCAAGCUCAAGCUCUUCUCCAACAAGAAAAAGCUCCCGAAACCGCCUCCGAUCACUCUGAGGUGUUACCGCACUUACCGUAUCCAAGUGAAUGUUGGGAUUGUGGACGAUGACGGACAAAUUGUCAGCGCAUCGGUCGUGCGGCAAUCUGUUGGUGCCGACUUCAUCGCCGUCACCAGUAGCAUUACUAGGCGUCCAGUCAACACGGGUACAAGACUACGGCACGCUAACUGAAGUUCUCAAGGCUGUAUAUGUAAUAACAGUAAUAAAGAAAUAUUUAUUUGUGAAGACAAACAGUCCCUUUUUCUUUUUUCCUUGUUUAAUGACAUUUUACAGUACAACCAAGACAAACAAUGCAUUGGUGGUGUGGCUACUGAGGAAUAGAGAAAUAGAUCUCCUGCCCACAUGGCGAUGCUGCAGGUCAGUUGUCGCCCUGAAAAAAGAGAAAACAAAGUGGAAGCGCUCUCCGCAGAUAAAUAAGAACACCCUAGUACCCUUGCAUACCUCAGAAAAAGUCCAUUACGCACAGAAUGCAGGCACGCACUCGUGAAGGCCAGCUUUCUCAUGGAUUCGCUGCCCGCACGAUUAACUCACGAAGCGUUCAGUUGUCACCAUCUAUUGAACGGCCGCGCGCAUCGCUGUUGCUUCGUUAGUUCAACCUUCUUUGUUUUAACUGAUCCAGGGACCAGGAAAGGGAUUCGGUUCGAG